rnacentral:rRNA from 1 species
UACGUAGGGUGCAAGCGUUGUCCGGAAUUAUUGGGCGUAAAGAGCUCGUAGGCGGUCUGUCGCGUCUGGUGUGAAAACUCAGGGCUUAACCCUGAGUUUGCAUCGGGUACGGGCAGACUAGAGUGCGGUAGGGGAGACUGGAAUUCCUGGUGUAGCGGUGAAAUGCGCAGAUAUCAGGAGGAACACCGGUGGCGAAGGCGGGUCUCUGGGCCGUAACUGACGCUGAGGAGCGAAAGCGUGGGGAGCAAACAGG